GGCCCUGGAGGCACAAGGUGGCUACUGCCACACGUCCUCCCUGGUAAAGGGACAGAGUUCUCAUGGUUCCACCUGCCUCUGACAGAAGACGCCCAGGCUACCCCGCCAUUGCAUGGGAUAGCCUGCGCCAGCUCUCCAGUACCCAGGCUGGGCCGUGGAGGCCAGAAAGUGGGGCUAUUCACAGCCUCGGAGGGGACUGGGCAUCGGGGAAUGGAGAAGCAGCACCCUGAGCCCGGGCGGCUCCACAGGCCCCACUGUCGGCACCCCACCACCUCUGCCACCGGCACGGCCUCCUCGGAGACGGGUUCCACAGAAGAUAAGAAUGCACACACUGGCUACGAGCUGUUCUUAUUCUUAAUACAGAAAAAAGUAAAUAAUUUUCAGCCCUUGGCUACCAAAGUGGGACACGUGAGUACUUGUAUGAGAAUGCGCACGUGUUUGCAUGUGCGCCUGGAAGGGAGGUGUUUAUAGGGGAUUUGGUUUUAUGGGACUGAACAGGAGAAGGUCCUGAGCACGAGACCUGCUGGGUCUCCCACUUGCUCUCACGUGUGGGCAGGUCUCCACUGCAGCCUUAGAGAGCACCCUAGGAGCACAGCACCCCUGGGCGGCUCUGGAGUGGUACGUUCAGAGCUCCCACAGAGGGAUGUCCUCUGACAAGUGACCCCUGAGUGACUUCGGGUUCUAAGUGGGUAGAUGGGGCAAGUCUCCGCCCCACCCUCACAUCUGUGUGUCGCAUCCCAGUGGGACUGCCUAUACAAUGAGGUUACGGUGUUGAACUGCGGGUCUGGAAUGGCUAACUGGAACUCUUCUAAACAAGGCCCAAGGAGAGACAGAGAGACAGAAAAUCAAACCAAAAAGCAAACCAGAGACAGGAUCAAAGGAUCCGGUAGGAAAGCCCCCGAGGGGAGUGUCUUCCUGCAGCCAUCUUGACACAGUACUAGAGGAGGGCCCACGAUGGGUUAAAUGGGUUAAAAAUGACACAGAAGUCCCACAGCAUCCACUCACUGCCCGCGGGCACUUCUCAGUUCUCCGCAGAGGCAGCCCUCUUAGGCAGGCUCUGGAGAAGCCCUGCUCCAUCGGGUGAAAAGUCGAGCUUCCUCCAUGGACGCAACCCACAUACUUCUCAACGGAAACCGUAAAUACACUCACGCACGUUGCUCCCAAAGCUUCCUUGUCCACUGAUGUUUCUACAGAUGAGUUAAUGGAUUUGUCAUUCCAAAGCCUAAAGUGCCUUCUGGGGGCGGGGGGAGAUGGGAGGUGCCGUGGAAGAAUGGGUCACGGCAGACUCUCCCGCUGUUCAGACUACGGCAAUCUGUCUGCAUGUAUGUGGUCUGCUUUGCUGAACAUACGGUGCUACAGGAAACCACUUGAGCCAGGAAACAAGGGACACAGAAAAGGCAGGUAGGCUCACUGAGCAAAUCCUCCAGCAGAGACUGUAAUCCAUUCAAGCUGUCUCCAGUUAUUCACAUACAUGUCCAGAGUUCAAUUAAGCCUUUAGUCAUAAUAACACCUCCCAUCUC